rnacentral:rRNA from 1 species
UACGUAGGGUGCAAGCGUUGUCCGGAAUUAUUGGGCGUAAAGAGCUCGUAGGCGGUUUGUCGCGUCUGCUGUGAAAACUCGGGGCUUAACCCCGGGCCUGCAGUGGGUACGGGCAGACUAGAGUGCGGUAGGGGAGACUGGAAUUCCUGGUGUAGCGGUGAAAUGCGCAGAUAUCAGGAGGAACACCGAUGGCGAAGGCGGCCAUCUGGACCAGCACUGACGCUGAGGCACGAAAGCGUGGGGAGCAAACAGG